rnacentral:rRNA from 1 species
AUACGUAGGGGGCGAGCGUUGUCCGGAAUGACUGGGCGUAAAGGGUACGUAGGCGGCCAGGUAAGUCAGAUGUGAAAGGCAUAGGCUCAACCUGUGUAAGCAUUUGAAACUGUCUGGCUUGAGUUAAGGAGAGGAAAGUGGAAUUCCUGGUGUAGCGGUGAAAUGCGUAGAUAUCAGGAGGAAUACCAGUGGCGAAGGCGACUUUCUGGACUUAAACUGACGCUGAGGUACGAAAGCGUGGGGAGCAAACAGGAUUAGAUACCCUGGUAGUCCACGCCGUAAACGAUGAGUGCUAGGUGUCGGGGGUCGAACCUCGGUGCCGGAGCUAACGCAUUAAGCACUCCGCCUGGGGAGUACGUUCGCAAGAAUGAA